GCAGAGCACUCCUACGGGAGGCAGCAGUAGGGAAUCUUCGGCAAUGGACGGAAGUCUGACCGAGCAACGCCGCGUGAGUGAAGAAGGUUUUCGGAUCGUAAAGCUCUGUUGUUAGAGAAGAAUGAUGGUGGGAGUGGAAAAUCCACCAUGUGACGGUAACUAACCAGAAAGGGACGGCUAACUACGUGCCAGCAGCCGCGGUAAUACGUAGGUCCCGAGCGUUGUCCGGAUUUAUUGGGCGUAAAGCGAGCGCAGGCGGUUCUUUAAGUCUGAAGUUAAAGGCAGUGGCUCAACCAUUGUACGCUUUGGAAACUGGAGAACUUGAGUGCAGAAGGGGAGAGUGGAAUUCCAUGUGUAGCGGUGAAAUGCGUAGAUAUAUGGAGGAACACCGGUGGCGAAAGCGGCUCUCUGGUCUGUAACUGACGCUGAGGCUCGAAAGCGUGGGGAGCAAACAGGAUUAGAUACCCUGGUAG
rnacentral:rRNA from 1 species